rnacentral:tRNA from 1 species
UCUUCAUUAGUAUAACGGUUAGUAUAACCGCUUCUCAGUCGCGGUAGACCAGGGUUCAACUCCCUGAUGGAGAA